rnacentral:rRNA from 1 species
CGGAGCUACCAUGCAAGCCGAGCGGUAUAGAUCUUUCGGGAUCUAGAGAGCGGCGUACGGGUGCGGAACACGUGUGCAACCUGCCUUUAUCUGGGGGAUAGCCUUUCGAAAAGGAGAUUAAUACCCCAUAAUAUAUCAGAUGGCAUCAUUUGAUAUUGAAAACUCCGGUGGAUAGAGAUGGGCACGCGCAAGAUUAGAUAGUUGGUGAGGUAACGGCUCACCAAGUCUACGAUCUUUAGGGGGCCUGAGAGGGUGAUCCCCCACACUGGUACUGAGACACGGACCAGACUCCUACGGGAGGCAGCAGUGAGGAAUAUUGGACAAUGGGUGAGAGCCUGAUCCAGCCAUCCCGCGUGAAGGACGACGGCCCUAUGGGUUGUAAACUUCUUUUGUAUAGGGAUAAACCUACCCUCGUGAGGGUAGCUGAAGGUACUAUACGAAUAAGCACCGGCUAACUCCGUGCCAGCAGCCGCGGUAAUACGGAGGGUGCAAGCGUUAUCCGGAUUUAUUGGGUUUAAAGGGUCCGUAGGCGGAUGUGUAAGUCAGUGGUGAAAUCUCACAGCUUAACUGUGAAACUGCCAUUGAUACUGCAUGUCUUGAGUGUUGUUGAAGUAGCUGGAAUAAGUAGUGUAGCGGUGAAAUGCAUAGAUAUUACUUAGAACACCAAUUGCGAAGGCAGGUUACUAAGCAACAACUGACCG